CCUUAAUAAAUGACUCCUGAGUUAAUAGUCGAGAUUAUGUGCAAACUAUUUUAAAUCAAGCUUAAAGGAAAUUAUGUAGCUCACCGUGAGGUGUAGUGCCGGGAGACCAAAACUGGAAAUCAUGUUUGCCAGCGUAGGGGUAUAUAUGACUAUGUGCUUAGUGCACACAUUAUAUUUUGGAAUGGAUAUCAUCAUGGUGUAUUUAGUCUUUCCUCAAUCUCC
rnacentral:lncRNA from 1 species